CUGCCCCAUAGGGUCCCUAUCCCCACCCAAAAGCUCCCAUGGGUGCCCUUUUCUACCCCAUAGGGCCCCUAUCCCAGCCCCACAGCUCCCAUGGGUGCCCAUUGCUGCCCCAUAGGGUCCCUAUCCCCACCCCACAGCCCCCAUUGGUGCCCAUCCCAACCCCAUAGCACCCAUGGGUGCCCCUCCCUGCCCCAUAGGGUCCCUAUACCCACCCUACAGCUCCCAUGGGUGCCUUUUUCUACCCAAUAGAGUCCAUAUCCCAGCCCUACAGCCCCCAUUGGUGCCCAUCCCAGCCCCACAGCAGCCAUGGGUGCUCAGUGCUGCCCCAUAGGGUCCCUAUCCCAGCCCCACAGCACCCAUGGGUGCCUCUCUCUGCCCCGUGUCCCACUGAGGGUCUUUCCCCUCCCUGCUUCCCCCCCAACCCCCCCAAUUUUGGGGUCGUUUCAAUAAAUCUGAGAACCCUUUGCUUUCUGUCUGUGUCUCAAUGAAUAUUGGAUGGAACGGUGACGUCAUCGCCGGGCUGUGACGUCAUCACUGGGGGGCGUGACAUCACUUCCCCGCCCCCAAUCCUCCCGCUCUUCAAGCCACGCCCCCUGCGGUCCCCACCCCCUUGAAGGCGUUGCCCCUUUAAGACGUUACCCCCCUCCUUUAAGGCUUUGCCUCUCUAAGCCACGCCCACUCCGCGCGGUCACCUUCCCAAACGCCGCAACGCCUCAACGCGCAUGCGUCGCUCACUGCGGCCGGAAGUGCCCUUACUCGCAACCGGAAGUCACUUCACCAUUUUCCGGAAGUUCCCUUAUCAAUAACCGGAAGUAGCUCGAUGCCCGGCCGGAAUUGCCCUUAGAAGCGACCGGAAGUAGCCUCACUUAAAACCGGAAACGACGCAACGCGCAGGCGCAGUGCGGUGCCGGUUCCUGUGAGGAGAAGGGAAAAAAGGGCCGCGCUCAGCCCCGGGGCGGCGUCGCGAUGCUCCGGCACCGAAACGCCGCCGCAGCCCGUCUGAGGUCGGCAUGGACCGGGCUGGGGGCGGCGUGGAGCGGCUCGGGGCCUCAAAGCCGCCGCUACCGGGCGAGACCGCAGGUGAGGAGAAACGGGCGUGGUUAUGCUAAUGAGAUGGGCGUGGUUUGGAAGGAGGGGGCGGGGCUUGUGGGAUCUGUGGGGCUGAGAUGGGGCGGCUCUUAUGGGGCAGAAUGGGGGGCUGUGGGGCGCUCCUAUAAUAUAUAGGGCGGUUCGAGCCCCUUAAGGGGUAGCCCCACAUCCCUAUGGGGCAGCCCCACAUCCUAUAGGGCAGUUCCAGCUCCUUAAGGGGCAGCCCCACAUCCUAUAGGGCAGCCCCACAUCCUAUAGAGCAGCCCCAUGUCCUGUAGGGCAGUUCCAGCCCCAUAUGGGGCAGCCCCACAUCAUAUAGGGCAGUUCCAGCCCCAUACAGGGCAGCCUCACAUCCUAUAGGGCAG
ensembl:lncRNA